rnacentral:rRNA from 1 species
UUGGAGGGCAAGUCUGGUGCCCGCAGCCGCGGUAAUUCCAGCUCCAAUAGCGUAUAUUAAAGUUGUUGCAGUUAAAAAGCUCGUAGUUGAAUUUCGGGAUCGAAUUGUUGGUCGUGCUUCGGUACGCACUGGCAUUAUCGGUUCCUACCUUCUGAAGAACCGCGAUGUCAUUAAUUUGGUGUCGUGGGGAAUCAGGACUGUUACUUUGAAAAAAUUAGAGUGUUUAAAGCAGGCUUACGCUUGAAUACAUUAGCAUGGAAUAAUGAAAUAGGACGUUUGAUUCUAUUUUGUUGGUUUCUAGGAUCGACGUAAUGAUUAAUAGGGAUAGUUGGGGGCAUUAGUAUUCAAUUGUCAGAGGUGAAAUUCUUGGAUUUAUUGAAGACUAACUACUGCGAAAGCAUUUGCCAAGGAUGUUUUCAUUAAUCAAGAACGAAAGUUAGGGGAUCGAAGACGAUCAGAUACCGUCGUAGUCUUAACCAUAAACUAUGCCGACUAGGGAUCGGAUGAUGUUAAUUUUAUAAUGACUCAUUCGGCGCCUUACGGG